AUGUAAUCCACAAACAGGAUAGGUCUACAAAUUACAUUAGUAGCAAAUAUGUGUUCUAUAACCAAACAUAGGGAAGAUUUUGCAAUGUUGAUUACAACUAAAACCAUAUUAUUUACAGAUGCUGCAAUAUAAAUUUUGCAAUCGUAUGCAUGGAAGACAAUUCUUCCACUAUCUAGUGGUGAAGCAUUUGUUGGAUAGGUACGUUUGUGUACUGGACAUGGAAAAUUGUCAUGCUGUUACUGAAUAGAAAUUAUAUUUACUUGAACAUUUUAUAUGCCAUUUCACUGAUAAAGGUACAUGGGUCCUUUUUUUCUACAGAAACACUGUAAAAGAAGAUGACUCAAUGUUGUUCAGAUGACCAUGAGAUCAUUGACCAUACACUCCGUAAUCUUUUGCUUUUGGAAUGUGCUUUAGACUAUAUUUAUAUGCUCCUAUUGCUAAUAAUAUCAAAACUCCAAGACUGCAUUAUAGCUCCUUUGAUGACCAUCAGCAGGGAAAUUUUACUAUGUUUGUGAAUAGAAUUGUGAUACCCGGUCGAUAUGUGUCCUGUACCAACAGGAACACACAAUGACCUUUAUGGUAUUAUGUCAAAUUUGAUGAACUUUUAUUUCAUUUCAUGUAGUAAUCAUUUUUUUAUCUGUAAUAUGUUACAGAAUAAAACAUUUUAAAACUUACAAAUCAUGUAAUAUCUGUAUAUUUAUUAAUUUCAUUGUACUAUAGCUCACUGUAUGACUCCCUCUUGAAUUUUUGUAGUAAUUUAAUUGAUUUGAUUAAAAAAACUGCACCAAAUCACAAGGCAAAAAUAAAAUCCAAAUAUUGUAAUCUGUUUUAGCAGAGUGAAUGUACCAAGAAAACAGAUAAUUCACCCAUUUAAAUUUUUCAUUCAACUCAUUUAAGAAAUGAAAUACGCUCUUAAGUUUGUGUACGAUAAUUUUAAUAUUCAAUCCUCAUACCUUACCUGAUUUCACAAAGUAGUUUCAAUCUGAAGUAUACAUGACUAAUCAUAAUUUAUCAACAAUUCAUAUAAAAGAAAAUAAAAAUAGCAAAUUAUGUAUCAUAUUAAAUACAUUUAGUGCAACUUUUUGAGUGAAUUUGACAUCUCGUGUAAUUACUCAUCCGUUUCCAAUUCAUCAGAUCUGUUUUACUUUUCGUUUCGGAACCAGACAGCAAAUUUCAUUUUGUGAAACCACCAAGUCAUUUAUCUGAACAUGAUCAACCAUUGACUACUUUUU